GCGAUGCCGCGUGGGGGAGACGGCCUUCGGGUUGUAAACUACUUUUGGCAGAGAAGAAAAGGUAUCUCCUAAUACUAGAUACUGCUGACGGUAUCUGCAUAAUAAGCACCGGCUAACUACAUGCCAGCAGCCGCGGUAAUAA
rnacentral:rRNA from 1 species